rnacentral:tRNA from 1 species
GCCUUGGUGGCACAAUGGUUAAGCACUCAGCUGCUAACCGAGAGGACGGUGGUUCGAACCCAUCCAGCUGCU